CAGUAGCCGCGGGAAUACGUAGGUGGCGAGCGUUGUUCGGAAUCAUUGGGCGUAAAGGGAGCGCAGGCGGGCAUGUAAGUCUUUCUUAAAAGUUCGGGGCUCAACCCCGUGAUGGGAAAGAAACUACAUGUCUUGAGUACAGGAGAGGAAAGCGGAAUUCCCAGUGUAGCGGUGAAAUGCGUAGAUAUUGGGAGGAACACCAGUGGCGAAGGCGGCUUUCUGGACUGCAACUGACGCUGAGGCUCGAAAGCCAGGGGAGCGAACGGGAUUAGAUACCCGAGUAGUCCCUGUCUCUUAUACA
rnacentral:rRNA from 1 species